rnacentral:rRNA from 1 species
GACGAACGCUGGCGGCGUGCUUAACACAUGCAAGUCGAACGAGACGAUUGAAAGCUUGCUUUCGAAAGUCGAGUGGCAAACGGGUGAGUAACGCGUAGACAACCUGCCUUUGAGAUGGGGACAACAGUUCGAAAGGACUGCUAAUACCGAAUGUUGUAUAUUUUCCACAUGGAAGAUAUAUUAAAGAUGGCCUCUAUUUAUAAGCUAUCGCUCAAAGAUGGGUCUGCGUCUGAUUAGCUAGUUGGUGGGGUAACGGCCUACCAAGGCGACGAUCAGUAGCCGGUCUGAGAGGAUGAACGGCCACAUUGGGACUGAGACACGGCCCAGACUCCUACGGGAGGCAGCAGUGGGGAAUCUUCCACAAUGGACGAAAGUCUGAUGGAGCAACGCCGCGUGAGUGAAGAAGGGUUUCGGCUCGUAGAGCUCUGUUGUCGGGGACGAAUGUGCAUUACUUGUAUAAAGUAGUGUAAUGACGGUACCUGACGAGGAAGCCACGGCUAACUACGUGCCAGCCGCCGCAGUAA